AUAAUUACAUGUGCAUUGAGGGAAGCUAUUGGUUUAAGGACAUGCUUAAGGAAAAGAUCCACAUGAUGUGCUGAAUCUUGAAUUUGAUCUCUGCAUUAGCUGAAAGAGGUGUAAAAUCAACUGAAUGGUGACAGCUCACUCUGCUACAUAUCUGAAUCUCACUGCUCCUUUGUGAUUCAUCCAGGCACACACAAAUAGUUGAUAAGCGGCACUGAAACCUUGCACAUUUUGAUCUCUCCUGGGGAUGUUCAAACACAUGUGCCGUAGACAUGCAUGGAUGUCCUAUGGUGCCUGUUGGAGGACUGGAGUGUUAUUUAAGCCCAGAUGUAACUUUGAGCCAGCGUUCCUGCUAACCACUCAACAGCAUGUGGAGUUCCGCUCUUUGCUGCUAUGCAAAGCCAAAUCUGGAAUCAGAACUGAGUUCCAAGCAUGUGUAGAUUUAGAAGCAAGCAUGGUGACAUUUGGCUGAGCCACAUCCUCUUGGGACCUCCUAAUGGAUCAUAACUCAUAAUUGUGGACAUCUCAUGUACAGUACUAACCCUUCACUUGCUAUUCCUGGAUCCAUGGCAAUAUGGACAGACACGCAGACCAAUCCACCUCUUCAAAAGAAGAAAAAGGGCCAGCUGUCAUUCAUUCCAAUUGUGGAACUGAAUUCUCUAUUUUAACUUGGGCUGGCCAGGAAACAAGAAUUUUUUAUUGCAACAAA